CCCCUGUUGAAUCUACAGCUUCCCCAAAGCACCUUGUGUUCAUGGUGGAGGAGAAUGAGUCACAAGCUGAAUAAAUUCAGAGCCCUGAGAGCCCUGAGGUUUAGGGGUGGAUAUACUAACUGUGGGGAAUUGGGAAACUAAGUACAGGUCCUGGUGUGGCUGCUGACUGCCAAAGUUACUCACUGUCUCUGAGACUCAAGGUCCUCUAAAAAUAAGAGCUGCUGUGUAUUGAACACGUCCUGUGUUUUCAGGAAUGAUGAUUAUUCUGUGCACCAUUUCACUUAAUCCUCUGGGGUCUGCUGUGGCAUAUGACUAUAAUGGCCCCCAUUUUGCAGAUGAGGAAAUCGAGGCAUGGAGAAGUUGAAGGAAGGAGGAGAUGGCACCAAAGGGACUUGGAACAAAGAGGGGAAGGGGAUUCUAGUCACAUGGGUGUCAGCUGCCCAAGGCAAGGGAAAAGGGCUCCAGGGAGCUCUGAAAUGGAACGAGAGGGAAAGAAGCAAGCAGCUCGCAGCUCGCAAGAGGAGGAAGUGGGAGAUGCGCCGCUUCCUGUAGAAAGACGGAUGAUUGAAGACAAAGCUGGGUGGGGACUAGUCCCUGGGCUGCGGGCGCUGCUGCUACACAUACACACACGAGCGCGCGCGCACACACACGUUCGCGCGCGCACACACACACACUCCCCGUGCUGCGCGCCGUGGGCAGCUCCUACUACUGCGGGGUUGGGCUGGGCUGGCUGCGCUGGAGCUGUGCUGCACACAGCGGCUCGGGGAGGGCAGGAAAGCCACUCUGCUCGGACCAGCCUCGGGAGCCAAGCCAUCACUUUGAACUUUGUCACAUGGCCCACAACCAGCAACAAGGGAGGCUGGGAAAAGCAGUUACUCUUGACAGUCAGAUCUUCAAGUGAGCCUCGGGCUUUGGGAACUGAAGAGUGUGUCUGAAAAACCCACCCAGCAUUCCAAUGGCCAGCAACAAUACCGCCAGCAUAGCACAAGCCAGGAAACUGGUAGAACAGCUGAAGAUGGAAGCCAACAUCGAUAGGAUAAAGGUGUCCAAGGCAGCUGCAGACUUGAUGGCCUACUGCGAAGCGCAUGCCAAGGAAGAUCCCCUCCUGACACCUGUCCCGGCUUCAGAGAACCCAUUUAGGGAGAAGAAGUUUUUCUGUGCUAUCCUUUAAGUCUUCAAGGGGAGUCUGAGGAGCCUCGGGGCUCCAGGGACACUGAUGUAGAGUUUUUAGCAGAGUGGGCGCCUUUCUCGUCCACAGCAUUUAAAGAGAGGGAGGUGAACCAUCCUGGAAACUCCAGGCUAUGCAUGUUUAAAGAACCGGUCCCCUUUAUGAGAAUGAAAGCUGAUCCACACCCCGAGUUAAGAGAUCUCAAUGUCUGCAGAACUGCCUGGAGGAGGGGAAAAUGUAAAGAUAAAAAUCGGUGUCAUUUCUUUCCUGCUGUCCCUCCCCAAACCUUAUGUUUCUGCUUCAUAUUUAAAAAAUAAAAAUUAAAACAGACAGCUGUGCUGAGCUCAGAUAUGUCUGACCUUGGAAUGAAUAUUGCCUUUAGAACACCCUUUGACAAGCUGAGUUGUCCAGUGUAGCCAGUUCGGUUCAACGGCAUUGAUGUUUCGUCUUUGUGCCUUUCUUUUUCUUUUUCCCUUCUGCCCUCCCCCUCCUCCCAUCCCUUCCCAGGAAUAAAGAGAUAAGGCUGGACUUGUCUGUAAGACUGAACUCCCAGGAUGAGCACCCAAAGGUUUUAGGUCGAUGUUCCCUGUGGUUUAUCCUCUUGGUAAUAACAAACAAAAAUGCCAGUUGUCUGUGUUCUUUUAUCACUAUUCCUAACAUUUGUACAUGAUAGCUUUGAUUCUGCAAGUAAAAGUAAAUCAUGUGUUGUGACUGGUGCUUUCAUAUAUUUGUGACAAUUUUUGAGUAAUACUGCAUGAAAAUGUCCCCAUAUUACAUCCAUUCAGAAGUUUUGUUGUACUAUAAAGUUGGGAAAAAAAGAAUGAGAGAAAUGAAGCUGGAAAGGAAAACAAACUCAGUAUCUUGAAAACUGAAAUGACUCCAGAGCCUUAGCCAUGCCUAAAAUACCUCCUACUUAACAGUGGCACCCGCACCUCUUCAUCGUAUUUUCCAGAAUCCAAAGCAUUUUGGUUUUAUCCAGGAUCCAGGGCAGCACAGGUUGCACCAAGCGACAGAACCAAGGAUUCACCCUGAGCUGGGAAGUGCUUUUGUCACAGAGUCAGAGCAAAUUCCAUUGUUUCCUAAAUGACAGGAAUUCUAGAUUGAAAGAAGGCUUUCUGUGUUCUUCUUAACAAGAAAAAAUGUGGCCCUCAUAUGCUCAAGUAUCAGGAGAAAUAAACCCAUGACUCCAGACUCCACCCUCAGAAUCCUGGCUGUUCACCGGCCAGGGAGAAGGGGCAGUGUUGUGCCCCUGCCCCCCACCAACCCCCUACCCCCACCCAGGAGUUCCACCAGAAAGGGUUCUGGCUCAUUGUGCCACUGACUGACAUGGCCUUUGUUUUUCACUCACCAACAUUUUCAAAAGAAUCUUUUCUUUGUUUUUGUUCUCCACUUUGUUUGAAUCUCUCUGCCUUCAUAUACCACUUCCUUGCAGCUUAAGCUCUCUCUUCCCAAGAGAUGAUGUUGAAAGUGAUUUUUCCUUGUGACUUCAGCCUCCACCAGUAAUGGCAGAGCCUGAGAGUCUUUCUCACUUUGUUCUGUGUCCUUCCCAGACAGAUGGGGACUCUCUUACAACUCCUUGCUUGCCUUGAAAUCCCAGAAGACCAUUUCCAAAUUAAUUUUUAUUCUCUCUUUCCAUUCUCUUCCUCCCAUUUAAAAUUAAAAAAAAAAAAAAGAGGAUGGAGAGGAAGGAUAAAAGAAGAUAAAAAAACAAUAUGCCAAGGACAGAUUUUGAAAUUGACUUGAUAAAUAUUUUCCUUAACUCCUUGUAUGGGCCUGAGGGUAAGAGAAAAAAUACAUCCAAUUAAAACUCCUGCCUGGGAAAAGAAUACUGAGACAUUGUGAAAUGUAUGAAUGUACUUCUAUAACCAGAAACUUCUGCUCAAGCCUUGGGAUUUUGUUACAGUCAGUGGGACACUGAUGAAGAUUUAGAGGGGAAGAACCCUGGCAGAGUAUUUAUUACACUACAGAAUUGUACCAAUGGCUUAGUAAUAAUGUGGAAUCAGCUAAAACCCAACCACAUUUUUUAAAUGAGCUAAAAUAUGAAUCGAGUAUGUGGUCACAUAAAAACAACUGUGAAUAAAGCACUCUUUGGUGGUGUUAAGGCAUCAUCCUAAGACCCUGAUGCUUUUCAUAAUCUGCAUCAUUUAUUUUGCUCUUAAGGAUUCUUUAUAUUUUCAUGUGAAUCUAGAUCUUUGGAGCAAUUAAAAUGGAAUUAAAACUUUUAGGAAUAUAGCUCUUGUAAUUAAAAGUUAAGGAAAUUCCAAACUGCAUGUGACCUUGUUUAUGAAAAGAGAAAGCAAGAAAAUACACAGACCAUCUGAAAUUAAGUUUAAGAAAAAUGUUUGACUUUUUCAUAAUUUCAUGUCCAACAGUAUGGAAUUAUAACCCCAGAGUUUUUAUAUGAGUUUUGACUUACUGAUAUUUUUACUUGUUAAAGGGGAAAUAAUUUUUUGAUUAGUUAUGCCCUAAAGAGUUUUAAUUCUUUUAGAAAUUUAACAAUCAUUUUCACCAGCAUAAUUUUAUCUUAAGGGGUAACUGAUAGGAAAACUUAGCUUAAUUAUUCAAGGCCCUAAUUUAUGUUUAUACUAUAUUGGGUGGUAAUAAAAGCCUGCCAUGGAAUUCGUUAAACAGUAUGAAUAACCCUCAUAUUUAGAACACAUACUUUAUUAAGGGAAAAAAACUAUCUUGCAUCAUCCUCAAUAUAAAAUUUGCUUUCUUUUUUUUUUUCUUUCAAUUUUAGACCAAGUGCUAUUUAAUUCAAAUCAGAGGUUGUGAAUAAGUACUUUGAACUGAGGCUAGUUUUGCUAAUAAUAUUUGAAAGAGAUUGCUUAAGGAAAAAUUCAAAACCAUUUCCCCAUGCACUAAUAUUCACAAAAGGAAUUUAAGCAUGCUGUCUUAGAGGAUUUUCGUACUUCUUUUUUGUUUGUUUGUUUUAAUAUCUGCUUCUCGCUGCUUCUGGCAAUGGUGAAUUGUUACAUAUACAUUAAUGUUUUCCCAGCCCAAGACUUGUUCAUAUUUUUCCUAUAUAAGAUCUAUGGAGUGGAGUGUAUCUUUCAAAGAGAGGGAAAUACAGAAAUGUUAAAACAGAAAAACCUGAAUGCGAUGUGUACAUUUUCAUCCCACAUGGACAAUGUAUUUGUUUUAAUAAAUGGAAUUUUCAGAUUCAUUC